UGGGGAAUUGUUCGCAAUGGGCGCAAGCCUGACGACGCAACGCCGCGUGGAGGAUGAAGGUCUUCGGAUCGUAAACUUCUGUUGCCCGGGACGAAUAGCUUAGACCUAAUACGUCUGAGUAUGACGGUACCGGGUGAGGAAGCACCGGCUAACUCUGUGCCAGCAGCCGCGGUAAUACAGAGGGUGCAAGCGUUGUUCGGAAUCACUGGGCGUAAAGCGCGUGUAGGCGGCUUGAUAAGUCUGGUGUGAAAGCCCGGGGCUCACCCCCGGAAGUGCACUGGAUACUGUCGAGCUCGAGUCCCGGAGAGGAGAGUGGAAUUCCUGGUGUAGCGGUGAAAUGCGUAGAUAUCAGGAGGAACACCGGUGGCGAAGGCGGCUCUCUGGACGGUGACUGACGCUGAGACGCGAAAGCGUGGGUAGCAAACAGGAUUAGAUACCCCCGUAGUCCCUGAGCGGGCUGGCAAGGCGCAU
rnacentral:rRNA from 1 species